rnacentral:rRNA from 1 species
AAACCAACAGGGAUUGCCUUAGUAGCGGCGAGUGAAGCGGCAAGAGCUCAAAUUUGAAAUCUGGUACCUUCGGUGCCCGAGUUGUAAUUUGAAGAAAGCUGUCUUGAAUUUGGCCUUUGUCUAUGUUCCUUGGAACAGGACGUCACAGAGGGUGAGAAUCCCGUGCGAUGAGGUGUCCAUUUUCAUAUAAGACGUUUUCGAAGAGUCGAGUUGUUUGGGAAUGCAGCUCAAAGUGGGUGGUAAAUUCCAUCUAAAGCUAAAUAUUGGCGAGAGACCGAUAGCGAACAAGUACUGUGAAGGAAAGAUGAAAAGAACUUUGAAAAGAGAGUGAAAAAGUACGUGAAAUUGUUGAAAGGGAAGGGUAUUCGAUCAGACUUGGUAUUUAGUUAUCAUCGCUCCUUGUGGGUGGUGCUCUAACUUUUUACUGGGCCAGCAUCAGUUUUGGUGGCAAGAUAAUGGCAGUUGAAUGUAGCUCCUUGGAGUAUUAUAGCUUCUGCUGAUAUUGCCUACUGGGACUGAGGUCUGCGGCUUUUGCCUAGGAUGCUGGCGUAAUGAUCGAAUACCGC